rnacentral:rRNA from 1 species
CUUGUUGGUGGGGUAACGGCCUACCAAGGCGACGAUGGGUAGCUGGUCUGAGAGGAUGAUCAGCCACACUGGGACUGAGACACGGCCCAGACUCCUACGGGAGGCAGCAGUGGGGAAUCUUGCGCAAUGGGCGAAAGCCUGACGCAGCAACGCCGCGUGCGGGAUGAAGGCCUUAGGGUCGUAAACCGCUUUCAGGGGGGACGAAGCCACCUAGGUUAAUAGCCCAAGGGGUGACGGUACCUUCAGAAGAAGCCCCGGCUAACUACGUGCCAGCAGCCGCGGUAAUACGUAGGGGGCGAGCGUUGUCCGGAAUCAUUGGGCGUAAAGCGCGCGUAGGCGGCUUGGCAAGUCUUGCGUGAAAUCCUGCGGCUCAACCGCAGGCCUGCGCGGGAUACUGCCUCGCUAGAGUCCGGAAGAGGAGAGUGGAAUUCCCAGUGUAGCGGUGGAAUGCGCAGAUAUUGGGAGGAACACCUGUGGCGAAGGCGGCUCUCUGGGACGGUACUGACGCUGAGACGCGAAAGCGUGGGGAGCGAACAGGAUUAGAUACCCUGGUAGUCCACGCCGUAAACGAUGGGCGCUAGGUGUGGGCGGUGUCGACUCCGUCCGUGCCGAAGCUAACGCAUUAAGCGCCCCGCCUGGGGAGUACGGUCGCAAGACUAAAACUCAAAGGAAUUGACG